AUUAGCUCCUGCAGCACGUAAAGCAUUAGGCUUUGCGUGUAGACUCAGAACACCCAGCAAUGUCAUUUAACACCUUAUUAAGCACUUAGUAUCUGACCUAUAAAGGAGUCUGUCAGUCCAAUUUGUGGGUCGAUUAUACUUCUAUGCAACAUGUUAAAGUAGUGUAAGUCUGCAGAGUAAUUUUAAAUGUUCUGAUUCCUCAUGUAAAAUGCUAGUGGUUUUUUUGGAACCACCUGGAUUUUGGUUCACUUCUUUCAGGUACAGUUCCCUCAGGCUCGUUCUUGCUGAGACCCCAAGAGGUUCAAAACACUAACGCUCCUCAGAGAUUUUCAUCAAGUUCAUCUACGGAUUUCAACUACUAUUUAAAGGUUCAUGCCAAGCAUUUUGCUUUCUGGGAUGUUCACAGCAAGAUGUGUUAACAAAGUCCUUCAGUAACGUCCCCGUCAUGGACAGGAGGAAGAGCUGUCACCUGGUCAGAUCUCACUCGGGGCAGGUGCUGAAGUGGAUAAAGAAGGGUCUGUCUCUGUUUAUGGACCACUUCUCCAAGACCUGGAGCUCUGGCAUAAGGGCUC
rnacentral:lncRNA from 1 species